rnacentral:piRNA from 1 species
UGAUAGCGACACAGAACAAAAAAAAA